rnacentral:tRNA from 1 species
GCCUUGUUAGCUUGGUUGGUAGAGCGUCUGCCUUGUAAGCGCUAGGUCACGGGUUCCAUUCCCGCUCAGGACG